UUAGAGAACAAAGGCAGUGAAUUCAAACAACAGGAGGGGAUGUGGAGACAUUUUGUCUACAACCUGGGGUGGGGGGCACCGGGCGCUGAUUAGAGAUAUCAAUGUUUAACCCCGGGCGGUCGGCAGAUAUCUUGACAUGCCGUAUGCAUGAUAGUGCACACCUUGGUUUCAAACGAUUCUCUACAGAUAGAAUGGGGCUACAUGCUUGGGCCCCUGUUGAACACACACACACCCUUUGUUUUUGAAACGCACACACACACUCCUGCUGCUCCAUCACACGCACGCACGCACCCUGAUUUUCCGUGUCUUUUUUUUGUUGUUGUUCGCGACAGAACGGGGUGAUGGAUGGAAAGGACAUUUUCCUAUCGUUAAAGGACAUUACAUUUCUCUGCGACAGACCCUGGCGUGAGAGAAAAGACAGCUUCCCCUAUCGUUAAAGGGUGAGAUAUUGUGUAUUCUAUAAUAAUUUAAGGUCCAUAAAUAUUUGAUGCAAAAUAAUGAAAACAUAAUGUAGUUCAGAUAGAGCACGAUCAGCAGGGCGGGCGAUAAGAGUACACAACUGUAUCAACGGCUUGAAUUUCUGACAAAAUAAUAUUAUCAAUGUAUACAAUAUAUUUGUUUAUUAGACCUACCAACAUAACACAAUAUUGAGAUACUAAAAAAUGUAUAUGCAACAUUUUCUCAACUGUCAUCCCUGUGCUUUUUGCUUUAGAGGUAUGCUCUGCUAGUCCUAAAUCCAGACAUAAUCCACACAUAUGUGAUUGUUAUAACUGUUCUACGUUGUGGGGGAACAAACUUAUGUUUUCCUGGAAGGGUGAGCUUUCAUAAAUGGGGUCAAAAUAAAAUAUGCUAGAAGCGAUAGGAACAAGGAUGUAUUUCCCAGAAACUAAUAGUGUAUAUCAUGGGUAACUCCCGGUAACUCCCGUUGGUUAAUUGAUAAGUGUUCCAUUCUGUGGACUGAUCUAGACUAUGUUGAAAUAAUCUAAAUGAAUGCAGCGACCACUUCAUUAAAAACUAUAGAUGCAUUUGACCGUAGACCAUUUUGUUUUAUAAAGGGUACAUGUUCAGUACACACCCCUGCAUUCUAUAUUAUAAAGUAGGCUGUUGGUCUUUGAGGUCCAUUAUGUCAAUUUGCCUUUAUACAUCUCAUUGACCUACUGUCAACUCCCUCAGUUGUAAACAUCUAUAAUAAUCAUUAGACGUAUACAUCAGAGUUAUCAUACCCUGUGUCGGGGUUUGUACAGAGUUGGGUAAAUCCGCUCUUUGCUCCCCACUUACAUGGGUAAUAAUCUCCAAGCUGCUCUAAACGUUGAUGUUUUGGUGUCUCUAGGUUCAUCUCUAGACUGUUGAAUGAGGCCUGUUACAACUUUCUUACAAAACCUUUAAAGGGAGUUUGUGAAACCAUUCAGUCGUGGAUGUAUGUAAAACAUAUUUAACACAUAUUGCAGGUUACAGAAGACUCCUGUUGUACUAUGAAUCCCCACUCAUCCCUGUUAGAUCUUGAUGUGUUGGCUCUCUAUAUAAAGGGGCUGGUUAGCCCUGAUCAUUAUCCAUUUCGAAUUCACCAUCGCAAAGACGCUUGCCCGCUCCAUCAAAACUCUAAGUUUUCCCUCCAUGUGUAGAUCAACCGUCCUGCAUGUAAAUCCUGGGUAUGCCCACAUCAUUAAUUAAUAAGAUGUGUAGAAAACUGUUUAGCCAUAAGUAAAGGCCUUUCAUAAAGAGGCUGUCAUGAUUGCCUGUGCCACAUAUUUAACACGUAUUGCUUGUUACAGAAUACUACUGUUGUACAUUUAAUAUCCACUAGCAGAUUUCAUCGCAUUUGCACAAAUUCUGUCAUGUUACUGUGGUAUUUUUAAAAGUCAAUAAAUGUGUGUAAAGUGUACAUGUUUGUUUCACUGUAGAUUUGUUUAAGCCCUCCUAGAAAGACCUGAUUUUAUCCCAAAGCAUUAAUUAAUAAGCUGUGUAGAAGCUGUUUAGCCAUAAGUAAAGGCCUUUCAUAAAGAGGCUGUCAUGAUAAACCUGCAUCUGAAAUUACCUUUAGGAUAUUUUCUUUGGGGUUCUAAUCUCCCCAGGUGUACAUGCACUGAAAAUCCUUAGUCUGGAGCCAUCUGGAAGCUCUGUGCAUGUACAUAUAAAGAGAACUAAAUAGGAAACUAGGCUGAGAAACAUUAUUUAGAUGGCUGUUUAAUUGUUGUUGAAAGCUUGAAAUGGACACAAUGCCAAGCGACCUUGUUUCUAACACACACACACACACACACCUUGUUUCUAACACACACACACACUCCUGCUUCAUAGAUAGCAACCAUAAGGACAAUAAAACUGGGGGGGUGUGGGGCCAUACUCUUUCAAAAGUUCAAACACAGAACCCCCCCAGUUCAACCAGGUCCCUAGACAUCAAUCAGCAUGACAACUUGCAAUAGGAUGCAAUAUAGAUAUAAAAUAACACACCCUCUAACACGUGACCACAGGAACAGGAUGUCCUGGCCGGAGGCCCAUAUUUGGACCUGUAUACGUCAUCAUGGACACAGGGUUAUAAAUCAAAAUUUUGACCCGUGCCGUCUACUUUAUUCUCUCUGGGUGAUACCAGAACAGUAGGAAUCUAUACAUCGACGGAGAGAGGACACCAAGAAGAGUCAAGAGGCAGGGACCCGCCUGAGCGCCUGCGAUAGGCUGAGCAAGUCUAAACCACGCUCAGCCUCUACUGUGAUAGACAUUGUUCCAACCCAUCUGUUGGCCUAUCACAGUAUAAGAACAACUGUUUACGUACAUACUGUCAGUUCCCUGUUCUGCCCUGCGUGGUAUUCCAGUGAGCCCGUAUAUACAAAAGUUGCAUUUGCCAUUUAUUGCUUAGCUAAUAAAAAA